CCUACGGGAUGCAGCAGUGGGGAAUAUUGGACAAUGGGGGGAACCCUGAUCCAGCCAUGCCGCGUGUGUGAAGAAGGCCCUCGGGUUGUAAAGCACUUUCAGUGAGGAAGAACGCCUGGUGGUUAAUACCCAUCAGGAAAGACAUCACUCACAGAAGAAGCACCGGCUAACUCCGUGCCAGCAGCCGCGGUAAUACGGAGGGUGCGAGCGUUAAUCGGAAUUACUGGGCGUAAAGCGCGCGUAGGUGGCUUGAUAAGCCGGUUGUGAAAGCCCCGGGCUCAACCUGGGAACGGCAUCCGGAACUGUCAAGCUAGAGUGCAGGAGAGGAAGGUAGAAUUCCCGGUGUAGCGGUGAAAUGCGUAGAGAUCGGGAGGAAUACCAGUGGCGAAGGCGGCCUUCUGGACUGACACUGACACUGAGGUGCGAAAGCGUGGGUAGCAAACAGGAUUAGAUACCCGUGUAGUC
rnacentral:rRNA from 1 species